AUGGACUCCGACGAGAAGCGCCUUAGGACCGGCUUCGACAAGUUCAGGACCGAGGUCUACGACAAGAAGCCGGAUCUCUUCGAGCGGCUCAAGACCAAACAGAAACCCAGGUAUCUGGUGUUCGCGUGCGCUGACUCGCGUGUGUGCCCAUCAGUCACCCUGGGCCUAGAACUCGGUGAGGCAUUCAUCGUCCGCAACAUCGGCGCCAUGGUCCCCUUCUACUGUGAGAACAAGCACACCGGCAUUGGAUCGGCCAUCGAAUACGCCAUCUGCGUCCUUGAGGUUAAGGUCAUCGUGGUGAUUGGCCACAGCCGCUGCGGUGGAAUCAAGACCCUCCUCUCGCUCAAGGAUGGCGCGGAUGACUCCUUCAAAUUUGUUGAGGACUGGGUCAGGAUCGGGUUAUCGGCUAAGAGGAAGGUCGAAGACGAGUACUCAGGCAAACCUCCAGAGGAGCAAUGUGCCUUCUUGGAAAAGGCGGUUGUCGACGUGUCCCUCGACAAUCUGAGAACCUACCCGUUCGUCAAGGAUGGUUUGGACAACGGAACAGUCAAGCUGGUCGGCGGCCACUAUGACUUCGUCUCCGGCAAGUUUGAUACAUGGAAAGCUAAAAAUCAAACUUCCUCCCAUCGCUCAUCUCUCUGA
rnacentral:rRNA from 1 species